AUGGAUAAAAACACAUAUAAACUUGCAAGCUUUAAUUGUAAAAAUAUAAAGCGUUCAUUUCAUGAUGUACGUAAACUAUGCUCUGAAUCAGAUAUAAUUGCGCUUCAAGAAACAUGGCUAUCACCAGAGGAGCUGGCAUAUUUGCACAGUAUCAGCGACGACUUCGGGUGCACCGGGACGUCUUCAAUGGAUACUUCAGCGGGAAUCCUACGGGGCCGUCCGUAUGGAGGUCUAGCCAUACUAUGGAGAAAAAGUGCAUUUAACAACGUCUCGGUUAUUCAGUGUAAUAGUGAGCGCGUGUGUGCGAUAAAGAUCGUGCUAAAUGAAAGGCCUGUCUUAGUGUUUAACGUGUAUAUGCCCACAGAUGUGCCUAGUAAUCUGGUGGAGUUCACGGAUUGUCUUAGUCUGGUAAGUGCUAUCAUAGAUGACUCUAAUAUAGAAAACUGUUACAUUCUGGGUGACUUCAAUGCUCAUCCACAUGAGCGAUUCUUUACGGAACUAACCGGUUUUUGUGAUGAAUUAGAAUGGACCUGUGUAGAUACUGAAUUGUUAGGAAUAAACUCUGACACUUAUACUUUUGUGAGUGAUGCGCAUGGCUCCAGAAGAUGGCUAGAUCAUUGCUUAGUGACUAAAGCAGCCAGAAGUACGGUAUUGUCUGCUUCUGUGCUGUAUGAUACGCUGUGGUCAGACCACUUUCCUCUUGUAUUGGAGUGUUUAUUUAACCAUGUUUGUGUUAAGAAAUGUAUUUUCAACUUGGAUGAAAAUAAUGUGAUAUGGGGAGACAGAAGUCCUGAGCAAAGGCAGGCCUACCUUAGAUCAUGCCAUGAUAGACUUAAACGUAUUGACUUCCCAGUAGAUUUCACAACCUGUGCUGAUAAAAUCUGUAAACAUAGCUAUCAUCGAGCUGUUAUUGAUAAGUUAUACAAUGAUAUUGUGAGUGCUUUAACGGAAUCUGCGAUUUUGUUUCGUGACCGCAAUAUUCAUAGGAAAAAGCGAGUAGUACCAGGUUGGAAUAGGCAUGUCAGUGAAGCAUACAGGGAUGCUAGGCAGAAGUUUCGCCUGUGGGAAGACUUCGGAAAACCAUUAAACGGUUCCAUUUAUUUUGAUAUGCGUGAGGCCAGAAGGAUCUUUAAAUCAAGGUUGAAAUGGUGCCAAACCAAUGAAGAACAGAUUAAAAUGGAUAUUCUGGCCUCGCACCAUUCAAAUAGUGAUUUUCGUUCUUUUUGGAAGCACACGAAUAAGUUAAGCUGUAAGCCUGGCUUCCCUGUAUCCAUCCAGGGUGAGAGUGACCCUGUGCGCAUUGUUGACCUCUUUAAGGAACAAUUUAGGAUAACUUCACCGAUGGGCCCCAGCUUGUCCAUGCCAGGGCCUGCAGUCUCGACAAAGAUAGCGAUCGCUUAACGACAAAAUUCGGUCGAUAAGUCCUAACGAUCCGAUCGUAACGAUUUUUGGUAGUCUCUACUGCCAAAACUAUCGAGUGUCAUCGCAAAGUUACCGAAUAUUUUCGGUAAGAUAACGAUUUAUCGUUAUGUCAUAGAAUUUCCUUGCGACAGUUUUUGACAGCCCGCUAAGUGAUAGCUACUAUCGAUAUCGUUCCUAUAUUUGUUUAUUUUACGUCAGAAAAUAUUAAAUAAAUAGUAAUUUAAUAAAUAAUGGCUUCUGAAUAUUUAGCAUGGGACUUAGUUGUGCUCGAGCACAGACGCGAUGUGCUUAUGGGUCGACAAAUAGCACGAAACAAGCGAAACGAUGAAAAUCCCUUGGAUUUGGAGGAUGGCCAAUUUCUUCAAAUGUAUAGAAUUUCAAAGGAAAUGUUUCACAGGCUACUAAGUGAACUGCGUCCAUCUCUCCAAAGACGACGGCCUUACGGACUUUCUGUGGAGUCCCAAAUACUGACGGCACUCCGAUUUUACGCAUGUGGGUGCUACCAACAACCUGUUGGCUUGCAGUGGGGUUGUAGCAUGAGCCAAAAAUCUGUUAGCCGAGUCAUCCGGGCUGUAACUUCGGCAAUAAAUGAAAAACUUUUAAGAAAAUAUAUUAAAUUUCCAAUGACUCAAGGAGAACGCCAUGCGGCAAAACAGAAAUUUAGAAAUGCCCCACAGCCAUUCCCAGGGGUAAUUGGAGCCAUUGAUUGCACCCAUAUAAAAAUUUUAGCUCCUAAGACCAAUGAGGAGUCUUAUGUGAGUGGUCACCAUGAGGGCCAUUCAUUAAAUGUGCAAGCUGUGUGUGACCCUGAUCUUAUUAUUUUAAAUAUUAAUGCUCGAUGGCCAGGAGCGAGACAUGAUGCUCACAUAUGGGCAAAUUCACCGGUGCGCUCAACAAUGAAGCGACAUUUUGAAAAUGGGGACCGCCGUGCUUGGCUGCUUGGUGAUGAUGGAUAUCCUCUGGAACCGUGGUUAAUGACUCCCAUAAAACAUCAACAGCCUGGCACACCGGAAUAUAAAUAUACCGAAGCACACUGCUCAGCUAGGAACAUCAUAGAAAGAUGCUUCGGUGUGCUAAAAUCUGUGUUUAGAUGUCUAUCACACCAACGCCAGUUAAUGUACGAACCCUAUAUGGCUGGCCUAAUAAUUAACGCAUGUGCAGUGCUCCACAAUAUGCGGAUAACAUAUAAAUUACCGGAACCAGAGUCCACCACAUCCAUGCAGCUGGUGGAUAAUAGUAGAUUCCAUGAUGAUAUGUUAGAAGUUACAGGUUCUGGGCGAGCUGUUGCAGAGCGCAUAAGAAGAAGGCUAAUUAACACUAGUUUCACAUAAUUAUUAUACUUUUUUUCAUUUAUGUACUGUUUCAAAUAAAA
rnacentral:misc_RNA from 1 species